CGACCCCAGGUCAGGCGGGAUCACCCGCUGAGUUUAAGCAUAUCAAUAAGCGGAGGAAAGGACACUAAGAAGGAUUCCCUUAGUAACGGCGAGCGAACCGGGAAGAGCCCAACUUGAAAAUUAGACGUCUUUGGCGUUUGAAUUGUUGUAUGGAGAAGCGUUCUCAGCGACGGACCGGGCCCAAGUUCCCUGGAAAGGGGCGCCAGAGAGGGUGGAGCCCCGUCGUGCCCGGACCCUGUCGUACCAUGAGGCGCUGUCUACGAGUUGGGUUGUUUGGGAAUACAGCCCCAAUCGGGCGGUAAAUUUGGUCCAAGGCUAAAUAUGGGCGAGAGACCGAUAGCGAACAAGUACCUCUAGGUAAAGAUGAAAAGGACUUUGAAAAGAGAGUCAAAGAGUGGUUGAAAUUGUCGGGAGGUAAGCGGAUGGAGGCCGGUGAUUCAUCCCGGUCGGAUGCGGAACGGAGCAAUCCGGUCCGCUGAUCGAUUCGGGCCGUGGACCAACGCGGAGACGUUGCUGCCUUAAUUAUGCUCUGCAGCACGCGCCUCAUGGCGUGCCUCGGCAUCUGUGUGCUCAGGGCAUCGGCCUGUGGGCUCCCCAUUCGACCCGUCUUGAAACACGGACCAAGUAAUCUGACAUGUGUGCGAGUCAACGGGUGAGUAAACCCGUAAGGCGCAAGGAAGCUGAUUGGCUGGAUCCCUCACGGGUGCACAGCCAACCGACCUUGAUCUUCUGAGAAUGGUUCGAGUGUGAGUAAGCCUGUCGGAACCCGAAAGAUGGUGAACUUUUCCUGAGCGGGGCGAAGCCAGAGGAAACUCUGGUGGAGGCCCGCAGCGAUAAUGACGUGAAAAUCGUUCGUCUGACUUGGGUAUAGGGGCGAAGGACUAAUCGAACCAUCUAGUAGCUGGUUCCCUCCGAAGUUCCCCUCAGGAUAGCUGGAGCUCGAAAACGAGUUCUAUCGGGUAAAGCCAAUGAUUAGAGGCAUCGGGGACGCAAUGUCCUCCACUUAUUCUCAAAAUUUAAAUAGGUAGGAGGGGGUGGCUGCUUUGUUGAGCCAUCCCACAGAAUCGGGAGCUCCAUGUGGGCCAUUUUUGGUAAACAGAACUGGCGAUGCGGGAUGAACCGGAAGCCGGGUUACGGUGCCCAACUGCACGCUAACCUAGAACCCACAAAGGGUGUUGGUCCAUUAAGACAGCAGGACGGUGGUCAUGGAAGUCGAAAUCCGCUAAGGAGUGUGUAACAACUAACAUGACGAAUCAACUAGCCUCGAAAAUGGAUGGCGCUGAAGCGUGCGACCUAUACCCGGCCGUCGGGGCAAGAGACAGGCCUCGAUGAGUAGGAGGGCGCAGCGGUCGCUGCAAAACCUAGGGCGCGAGCCCGGGCGGAGCGGCCGUCAGUGCAGAUCUUGGUGGUAGUAGUAAAUAUUCAAAUGAGAACUUUGAAGGCGGAAGAGGGGAAAGGUUCCAUGUGAACGGCACUUGCACAUGGGUUAGUCGAUCUUAAGAGUCGGGGGAAAACCGUCUGAUAGCGCUUAUGCGCGAACUUUGAAAGGGGAUCCGGUUAAAAUUCCAGAACCGGGACGUGGCGGUUGACGGCAACGUAAGGAAGUCCAGAGACGUCGGCGGGAAUUCCGGAAAGAGUUAUCUUUUCUGUUUAACAUCCUGCCCACCCUGGAAACGGCUCAGCCGGAGGUAGGGUCCAGCAUCUGGAAGAGCACCGCACGUCGCGUGGUGUCCGGUGCAUUCCCGGCUGUGACACCCCGGAUCGUAGAUGACCUGAAAUGAAACGGUUGAUGUUCCUCGAUUGUCGAUCUGAGGUUCUCAGAAUACUUCCGAUCGCCUUAGACCAACAACCAAAGAACACCAACGCUCCUAUCGGAUAUAACCCUAGGCUUUUCAACCCGACAAAGCAAUACGUGAUAGUUAGUUCGUCUGGAGAAGGACAAAUAUCAUAGGGAACCCAUACUUUAAAAAAAAAACAUUCUUUAUAUUUCAAUCAAAAGCAUCUUACAAAUUUUUUUAUAAAUUAACCUCGAGGUUUUCGGUCAACAAAUCUUAUACAUAAGAUAUAUCAAAAUGACUUUGCAAGGAUAAUAAAACUACCGCUGGCUAAUGC
rfam:Brassica napus, WGS project CCCW01000000 data, contig: 32126